CAAUUCUGUUCACGCAUAGCUUGUGGACCGCCUGAAAAAAUACCUAAUGCAGUAUUUCACGCAAAAGACUUUUUGUUUGACUCUGAAGCAGUCUAUACAUGUUUUAAAGGAUACAAAAUGAAAUUAGGGAUCAAUUCCAG